rnacentral:rRNA from 1 species
GACGUAGGGCGCGAGCGUUGUCCGGAUUUAUUGGGCGUAAAGAGCUCGUAGGCGGCUUGUCGCGUCGACUGUGAAAUCCCGCGGCUCAACUGCGGGUCUGCAGCCGAUACGGGCAGGCUAGAGUUCGGUAGGGGAGACUGGAAUUCCUGGUGUAGCGGUGAAAUGCGCAGAUAUCAGGAGGAACACCGGUGGCGAAGGCGGGUCUCUGGGCCGAUACUGACGCUGAGGAGCGAAAGCCAGGGGAGCAAACGGG